rnacentral:rRNA from 1 species
GUGAGGAAUAUUGGUCAAUGGGCGGGAGCCUGAACCAGCCAAGUCGCGUGAAGGAAGAAGGAUCUAUGGUUCGUAAACUUCUUUUGCAGGGGAAUAAAGUGCAGGACGUGUCCUGUUUUGUAUGUACCCUGAGAAUAAGGAUCGGCUAACUCCGUGCCAGCAGCCGCGGUAAUACGGAGGAUCCGAGCCUUAUCCGGAUUUAUUGGGUUUAAAGGGGGCGUAGGUGGUUUGAUAAGUCAGCGUUGAAAGUUUGCAGCUUAACUGUAAACAUGCCGUUGAAACUGUCGGACUUGAGUGUAAAUGAGGUAGGCGGAAUGCGUGGUGUAGCGGUGAAAUGCAUAGAUAUCACGCAGAACUCCGAUUGCGAAGGCAGCUUACUAAGCUACAACUGACACUGAAGCACGAAAGCGUGGGGAUCAAACAGGAUUAGAAACCCCGGUAGUCC